GAUGAAGAACGUAGCGAAAUGCGAUACUUGGUGUGAAUUGCAGAAUCCCGUGAACCAUCGAGUCUUUGAACGCAAGUUGCGCCCGAAGCCUCGGCUAAGGGCACGUCUGCCUGGGCGUCACGCAUCGCGUCUCCCCCAAACCGCCAAGGCGGAGGGGAAGGAAGAUGGCUUCCCGUGCCUCACCCGGGCGCGGUUGGCCUAAAUUUGGAGCCCGCGGCACUUAGCUCUCGCGGCGAUAGGUGGUGAACAAGGCCUUGGCCGUGCAAACAACCCGCUGCGAAGCUCUAUGUCACGUGCGCUCGUCGGACCCUUUGAAGUUGCCUUUGGUGACUUAAAACCUUUGCGACCCCAGGUCAGGCGGGGCUACCCGCUGAAUUUAAGCAUAUCAAAAGCGGAGGA
rnacentral:misc_RNA from 1 species